CAUAGGGGUGGGGAGGGGGACCGUUACUGUGAUCCCGAUGACAGUAAACAAAUGGAAAAGUUUUAUAUUUUCUGAGUUUUGUGGCGAAAUGAGAGCAAGUGGAGGCGGUGGAGGGACACAUGGAGGAGUGGAGAAGACGUGAGGUGGAGAGGUGAGAGCCCCCGUGACAUACUGGAACACGCUCCGCCAAUAAGGAAACUAACAACAGGGGAAGCUUCAUCACCCUCCGGAACUCCCCUGUAAUAAGACACAACUGGUGGGCUGUGUGGUGACCCCGCGUUGUCUGUGAGGGCCACCCCCACAGCCACACACCACCACCACCACCACCAGGAGAGGGCAUCCACCACCUCCUCUAGCAGCUGGCCAGGGCACAGGGCACAAACAAGUGGUGAUGCAGAGGGUAGCCAGCCAGCCACCCCCCGCCACCUCCUGCCAGCCAGGUUGCAGAGGCACAAGUCCGUGCAUGUGUCCAGGACAUGAAGGUGAACAACACUGAGUAACACCUCUCCCCUGCAUCAACAA